rnacentral:rRNA from 1 species
GUGCCAGCCGCCGCGGUAAUACGAGGGGUGCAAGCGUUGCUCGGAAUCAUUGGGCGUAAAGCGAGCGCGGAUGGUCUUGUAAGUCAGGAGUGAAAGCCCUGGGCUCAACCCAGGAAGUGCUUUUGAUACUGCGAGACUUGAAUGUGGGAGAGGGUGCUAGAAUACCUAGUGUAGUGGUGAAAUACGUAGAUAUUAGGUGGAACACCGGUGGGGAAGCCGGGUGCCUGGCCCAACAUUGACAUUUAGGCUCGAAAGCGUGGGGAUCAAACAGGAUUAGAAACCCUGGUAGUCC